AAAAGAAAAUUAUAGGAAAGACUUGGAGCUGUUUAUUGGUCAUUGAUCACAGUAGCACUUGUGAUCCCAAAGAGCAACCACACAAUGACACAAUGACAGGGAGUUUGUGUGAGUGUGUACAAAUGUGUGGCAGGAGUGUCCAUGAGAAGUUGGGAGAUGUUCCUGUGAUCCCAGCUCCCUGAAGAUAGAGGUGGGAAGAGUGCCUGGGAGUUAGGUAAGAGAAAGAGAAAUAGAGAUCGGAUGGACAAAUACAGAUCAACAGAAGAGAUUCUUGUGUCCUAGAAACCAAAGAAAGAAUCAGCAGGAAUGCCCAGGGUGAAUGAUGGAUUGCAGAGCCUGGCUGGCACAUUUUGUGCCCUCCCCGCCUCCAAAUUGCCUCAGUUACAAAUCGGAAGGCAGGCUUGGUGACCAGGACUGGCAAGCACAUUUUAAAGUCCCAUGCUGUGGAGUUGAUCCAUCUCAACUUGAGGCGACUUGCCUUUAAACGGUCAAGAGAGAUUCCGAGGGAGCAGCCAGAUGGAGUUCUCCACAGACUGACUGGAGCCAACUGAGGAGACAGAGAUUCUAAGCUGAAUGAGAGGCAGUUAGUCCUUUGUCCUCCAUGGAAAAGUUUCUGGGAACCUGAUGUCAAAUGUCACCUGUGCAUACUUCCCUGAGAAGUGGAAUCUGGCUGCGGUGCAACACCAAGAGAAGCAGCAUCUGUAGGUAUCUGGAUCAUUCCUUGUCAGCAGCUCUAAGCUUGACUUGCAAUGGCUGCCUGCCUCAGUUUGCCUACCAUAUGGAUGCCCAAGCUGGUCUGUGGCAACAGAGGACAAUGAAACAACAUCAACAUAGAACUUUCCACAAUGGAAACUUCUUAAUGACUGAAGAAGGUGCGGUCAUGCUAUUUCAACGUUCUGUUCUAGUUCCCUCUUAACCAUAGCAGAAGAGAUUCUUACAAGAAAGAAUUUCAGUAUUUUAUUUAGCUUCAUUGUUACAAAUAGUUUCAUUCACUGUAAUUAUUUUAUGUUAUGUAUUACAUAUUCUUAUCUAUUUUAAUGAAUGGUAUUA